rnacentral:rRNA from 1 species
GUGGGGAAUUUUGGACAAUGGGCGCAAGCCUGAUCCAGCAAUGCCGCGUGCAGGAAGAAGGCCUUCGGGUUGUAAACUGCUUUUGUACGGAACGAAACGGUCCGGGUUAAUACCCUGGGCUAAUGACGGUACCGUAAGAAUAAGCACCGGCUAACUACGUGCCAGCAGCCGCGGUAAUACGUAGGGUGCAAGCGUUAAUCGGAAUUACUGGGCGUAAAGCGUGCGCAGGCGGUUUUGUAAGACAGGCGUGAAAUCCCCGGGCUCAACCUGGGAAUUGCGCUUGUGACUGCAAGGCUGGAGUGCGACAGAGGGGGAUGGAAUUCCGCGUGUAGCAGUGAAAUGCGUAGAUAUGCGGAGGAACACCGAUGGCGAAGGCAAUCCCCUGGGCCUGCACUGACGCUCAUGCACGAAAGCGUGGGGAGCAAACAGGAUUAGAAACCCUUGUAGUCC